UAAGGGCUUGACUGUGGGCUCAACAGGAAGCAACAUGACCCUUUCACUGGAAGAUCUCUAAAAGUCAGACCAGUUCCACUACAGAAGACUCCUUCAGCUUCCUGCUGGUUGGUGGGGGUAUUCUACGAGCCUGCUUUCUCUUAAAGGAAUUAUUCUGUUAUCAGCUCCACACCCCAAUCCUGACCGCCUUUGUUUCUAUUCUACCUGAAUCUGGGAACACUCUGCCCAGUUUCUCCCAGAAAAUAAAACUCCAAUCUCCUUGGGAGAUUCUAUGACCAUACGUACAAUUUUAGCCCAAGCAUGUCUUUUUGGCUUUGUACCCAUCAGAUACCUGAUGUUUCCAGUGCAGAAUCUCUCAGGGGUUUAUUGGGCAAUCUAGCUCAUCUGUGUUGCUGCCCGCCCUGUGCCAGCAGAUUCAGAAAAGCCUGAAUUUGCAAAAAGUUUGUUUCGAUCAUCAUAGGCAAGGUGAAAUAGAAAGUCGAAGAAAUCAUCUCGGUCAUUACGAGUCCUCAAGUAGUUGCUUUUUGUACUUUGAAUAAAGACUUUAGUCAUAGUAGGAGAGAUAGACUGUAAUGGACUUACUUCACGAUGGCUGCACCAGAGGUUCCAAGAACGAUGGCUUUCAACUUCAACCCACAUCUAAAACACACCACUGUAGCCACACCCUACACCCUGUGGUUAUCCAGUUGUGAGUCCUAUUGGAGAGAUGAGGUGUAUGACAGUUUCCUGGAGGGGGUCAUAUGGAUCUACUACUACCUUCCCACUGACAUUAGGCAGAUGUUCAUUAGAUUGGUUUGAUAGAUGUAAUGGUUAAUAUUGAGUGUCAACUUGAUUGGAUUGAAGGAUGCAAAGUAUUGUUCCUGGGUGCGUCUGUGAGGGUGUUGCCAAAGGAGAUUAACAUUUGAAUCAUUGGACUGGGAGAGGCAGACCCACCCUCAAUCUGGGUGGGCACAAUCUAAUCAGCUGCCAGCAUGGCCAGCAUAAAAGCAGGCAGAAGAAUGUGGAAGGAGUAGACUGGCUCAGUCUCCUGGCCUACAUCUUUCUCCCACGCUGCAUGCUUCCUGCCCUCGAACAUUGGACUCCAAGUUCUUCAGUUUUGGGACUCUUGAACCUUUGACCACAGACUGAAGGCUACACUGUUGACUUCCCUACUUUUGAGCUUUUAGGACUCGGACUGGCUUCCUUGUUCCUCAGCUUGCAGACGGCCUAUUGUGGGACCUCACUUUGUGAUCAUGUGAGUCAAUACUCCUUAAUAAACUCUCCUUUAAAUAUACAUCUAUCUUGUUAGUUCUGUCCCUCUAGAGAACCUUGACUAAUACGAUAGGGAAGCCAUAGUGACUGUCACUAAUAUUCUAAUAAAAGAAUUAUUAUCUAUGCCAACUCUGGAGAGCCACAGGUAAGCUAUACAUAGAUCAAAGUGUAAACCAGGGGUUCUCUGAGUGUGAUUCCUGGACCAGCAGUAUGUGGUGACAUUUGAAAUGCAAAUUCUUGGGCCCCACCUCAGACCACUGAAUUAGAAACUCCAGAGGUGGAGCUCAGCAGUUUGUUUUAACUAGUUCUCCAGGUGAUGCUGAGGCACAUCACAGUUGGAAAUGGUGAGGUAAGUAAGGAAUUUCAGCAGUUCAACUGCUGAAAUGUAGAUCUUAACAAAGUGCUAAAUGAAUAGAGGAAAAAGGGAUAAUUAUCUGAGACAUUUGGAUCUUGUUUCACGAAUAGGAGUUCAGAUGAAGUUAGGGAGGUCUUUUGAAGUAUAGGAAACAAGACAUGCAAAGACUGGGGAGGUUAGGAAGACCAGACCUAUUUCAAGAUAUACAAUGGCCUAGUGGGGCUUGAGGUAGCAGGGUGCAUUCUUUUUCUUAGAUAUGCUUCCUCCUCUCUGCUCCAUGGUGCCACACAUGAUGCUGGUGAUAAAGGAGACUGAGCGAGGGUAAAGAUUCACAGUGCCAGCAAGGGCUUGGACAUUGGCAGCCUAUGGAUCAAAUUGUGCUUGCAGAUGGGCUGUAUUUGGUAUUUUAUUGUACAAACACUAUGUAUUUGGCAUAGCAUUAUACAAAUAAAUGUGAACUAACAUUUAAUAAUCAGUUUGGAUGUAUAUAUGUGUAUAUAUAUUAUGUAUAAAUAACAUAUAUGCUAACACAAAAAUAUAUGUGCUAUAUUUAUAUUCUAUACAAAUAACAUAUAAAUAUAUGUUAACAUAUAAAAAUAUAUG
rnacentral:lncRNA from 1 species